rnacentral:rRNA from 1 species
CCCUUAGACGUUCUGGGCCGCACGCGCGCUACACUGACCAGUGCAACAAGCAUCCGUCCUUGGCCGACAGGCUCGGGCAAUCUUUGAACGCUGGUCGUGAUGGGGAUAGACUUUUGCAAUUUUUGGUCUUCAACGAGGAAUUCCUAGUAAACGCAAGUCAUCAACUUGCAUUGAUUACAUCCCUGCCCUUUGUACACACCGCCCGUCGCACCUACCGAUUGAAUGGUCCGGUGAAGCCUCCGGAUUGGCGCGCACCUCGGUGCCGCCGAGAAGUUGGCUAAACCUUACCAUUUAGAGGAAGGUGAANUCGUANCA